AAGUCGUAACAAGGUUUCCGUAGGUGAACCUGCGGAAGGAUCAUUACAGUGCCAGCCGGGCCCCCCCGUUGCCCCCCGCAAGGGAUGCAGCAUGGGCGGUGGCCCUGGCUAAACGGCCCCACACUUGUCUAUCGACCGCGUUGUCUCGGCGGGACGUCCGCAUCGUCGGCGACCGGGGAGCCCCUGAGGUCCCCUGGCCAGCGCCCGCCCGAGUACCGUUCGAACCACUGUUUUCAGCUAGUGAAGUCUGAGAGAAUAUUUUUAAUAUUACAAAACUUUCAACAAUGGAUCUCUUGGUUCCG
rnacentral:misc_RNA from 1 species